GAGCGGCCAUAGCAAUAUGGCAGCGGCAGACGGGAGAGUAACACGUGGGAACGUACCCUUUGGUUCGGAAUAACUCAGGGAAACUUGAGCUAAUACCGGAUAAGUCCGUAAGGAGAAAGAUUUAUCGCCAAAGGAUCGGCCCGCGUCCGAUUAGCUAGUUGGUGGGGUAAUGGCCCACCAGGGCGACGAUCGGUAGCUGGUCUGAGAGGAUGAUCAGCCACACUGGGAUUGAGAACGGCCCAGACUCCUACGGGGGGCAGCAGUGAGGAAUUUUCGUCAAUGGUCGAAAGACUGAACGAGCAACGCCGCGUGCCGGAAGAAGGUCCUCGGAUCGUAAACGGCUUUUCUGGGGGAAGAGAACGGACGGUACCUCAGGAAGAAGCCCCGGCUAACUACGUG
rnacentral:rRNA from 1 species